UACGGAGGGUGCAAGCGUUAUCCGGAUUUAUUGGGUUUAAAGGGUGCGUAGGUGGGUCUGUAAGUCAGUGGUGAAAUCUCCGGGCUUAACCCGGAAACUGCCAUUGAUACUAUAGAUCUUGAAUAUCCUGGAGGUGAGCGGAAUAUGUCAUGUAGCGGUGAAAUGCUUAGAUAUGACAUAGAACACCAAUUGCGAAGGCAGCUCACUACGGGAUUAUUGACACUGAGGCACGAAAGCGUGGGGAUCAAACAGG
rnacentral:rRNA from 1 species